GGGGGUAUGGGGUAGUGGUAGCCUACGAGGUUUGGGACUUCGUGAUCUCGGUUCGAUCCCGAGUACCCCCA
rnacentral:tRNA from 1 species